rnacentral:sRNA from 12 species
CAGAGGAGGCCCCUACGUGAUGCGAAGCAGCACGUUAUAAUAGGGGCCGACGACAUGCCCUCGAAGCCGCAGGCUGAGGGGGCGACACCAUAG